GACGAACGCUGGCGGCGUGCCUAAUACAUGCAAGUAGAACGCUGAAGGAGGAGCUUGCCCUUCUGGAUGAGUUGCGAACGGGUGAGUAACGCGUAGGUAACCUGCCUGGUAGCGGGGGAUAACUAUUGGAAACGAUAGCUAAUACCGCAUAAGAGUAGAUGUUGCAUGACAUUUACUUAAAAGGUGCAAUUGCAUCACUACCAGAUGGACCUGCGUUGUAUUAGCUAGUUGGUGGGGUAACGGCUUACCAAGGCGACGAUACAUAGCCGACCUGAGAGGGUGAUCGGCCACACUGGGACUGAGACACGGCCCAGACUCCUACGGGAGGCAGCAGUAGGGAAUCUUCGGCAAUGGACGGAAGUCUGACCGAGCAACGCCGCGUGAGUGAAGAAGGUUUUCGGAUCGAAAAGCUCUGUUGUAAGAGAAGAACGAGUGUGAGAGUGGAAAGUUCACACUGUGACGGUAUCUUACCAGAAAGGGACGGCUAACUACGUG
rnacentral:rRNA from 1 species